AUUGAACGCUGGCGGCAGGCCUAACACAUGCAAGUCGAGCGGAUGAAGGGAGCUUGCUCCUGGAUUCAGCGGCGGACGGGUGAGUAAUGCCUAGGAAUCUGCCUGGUAGUGGGGGAUAACGUCCGGAAACGGGCGCUAAUACCGCAUACGUCCUGAGGGAGAAAGUGGGGGAUCUUCGGACCUCACGCUAUCAGAUGAGCCUAGGUCGGAUUAGCUAGUUGGUGGGGUAAAGGCCUACCAAGGCGACGAUCCGUAACUGGUCUGAGAGGAUGAUCAGUCACCUUGGAACGGAAACAGGGCCCGACCUCCUCGGGGGGGCGGCAGGGGGAAAUUUGGGACAAGGGGGGAAGGCUGGACCGACCCGUCCCGCGUGGUGAAGGGGGUUCUUGGGAUUGAAAAGACUUUUAAGUGGGGGGAAGGGGAAGUAAUUAAAUCCCUUGUUGUUUUGAGUUUCCAAAAAAAAAAAACCCCGGCUACCUUCGUC
rnacentral:rRNA from 1 species